GAACGGUUGCAGCCUCAUUUGCAUAAGCACCCAAACACUGCUGACGUCACCGCGCCGAGUGCGGACCCCGCCUCGUCCUACUCCACUGUUUCUCCCCGAGGUGAGAGAAUGGAUCCGGGAGAACUCAGCGCCAGAGAGCGCGAGCCCGGGUUCCGCGCUCGCUGUGAACGCGCCACGCACGCCGCUUCUCUGCUCAACGGAAAGAGAUUCCCGCCGCUGCGGCCUCUUGAGAGCGGUAGGAAUAUGACUACCCCAUAGGAUUGGUGUGAGAGGAAGAGGCAGAACACAAAUGGGGACGAGCAGAACAUGGAAGAUUUCAACCUACAGGCUUCCCUGAUAGCUCAGCUGGUAAAGAAUCGACCUGCAAUGCUGGAGACCCCAGUUCGAUUCCUGGGUUGGGAAGAUCUGCUGGAGAAGGGAAAGGCUACCCACUCCAGUAUUCUGGCCUAGAGAAGUCCAUGGAUUAUACAGUCCCUAUUUUACAGAAAAAUGUAUGCAGAUCAGAUAAAAAGUAAAUAUAACAAUAUACUUUAUUCCCUGUUUUAAACCUUAUGCCAAAGUUGAAUCCAUUUUUAUCUUCACCUUAAAGGAUAUGUUACUAUAUUACAGGGCAUAAAAUUCAGAAAGGAGGUCCUUACACAUAUAAAUACAGCCAUAGACCAAUAAGCCCAUCAAUAAUAAGAACUAUCCUUUACUUUCAAAAGAACAGUCAUUCAUGGAACAAAAAUAAAGUAACUUAUACUCUAUAAACAACUAGAUACAUUUAAUAGUUGGUUACUUUGUGGUUUGCAAAAGGUUGGCUCAGUCAAUUAGAAGGAAUAAUUAGCUUCAGCAUCAAAAGUAGCAAGUUUAUUUUGUGGUACUUCUUUGUCUUUCUAAAGAAAUGAUUAAAUAUAUUGCAUUUAAAGUGGUAAUACAAAAAUGUGGCAACCUUACUAUAUUAAUGAAAAUUUAUCAUUUUGUAAUAAUAUUAGUUUAAAAAAUAAAAUGUAUCUUUCAAUAUAGCACACAAUUAAACACUACACU
ensembl:lncRNA